GAUGAACGCUGGCGGCGUGCCUAAUACAUGCAAGUCGAGCGAACAGACGAGGAGCUUGCUCCUCUGACGUUAGCGGCGGACGGGUGAGUAACACGUGGAUAACCUACCUAUAAGACUUGGAUAACUUCGGGAAACCGGAGCUAAUACCGGAUAAUAUAUUGAACCGCAUGGUUCAAUAGUGAAAGACGGUUUUGCUGUCACUUAUAGAUGGAUCCGCGCCGCAUUAGCUAGUUGGUAAGGUAACGGCUUACCAAGGCAACGAUGCGUAGCCGACCUGAGAGGGUGAUCGGCCACACUGGAACUGAGACACGGUCCAGACUCCUACGGGAGGCAGCAGUAGGGAAUCUUCCGCAAUGGGCGAAAGCCUGACGGAGCAACGCCGCGUGAGUGAUGAAGGUCUUCGGAUCGUAAAACUCUGUUAUUAGGGAAGAAAAAAUGUGUAAGUAACUAUGCACGUCUUGACGGUACCUAAUCAGAAAGCCACGGCUAACUACGUG
rnacentral:rRNA from 1 species